UCUUCCAAAGUCUACACUUUGUAUUCAUACAUGGAUCCUCUCUCGGAUUUCAUGGCUUCCAGCCAUUUGUCGGAAUCCGGGCCCACCAUUGCUUUCUCCAUAACUCGUAGGUUCACUGUUGCUCAACAACAUGACCUCCAAGACAGGGUUACCGUACCACUCUGCAGUAGUACGCGACCUUGUCAACCUAUGAGGCUUGUAGUAACUUGAUCCGAUGCUCGAUGAUCACCAUCAUCAGCUUUCACUUCAAUUGGUGUAGGCGCCACAGGAACAACUUCCUGCGCCCUGCUACACACUGGUCGAAGUGAUGGUUCAAUAACCUCAUCAAGUUCUACCACCCUCCCACUCAAUUAUUUCGAGAGAAACCUUUCCUCGAGAAAGGAUCCGUUUCUAGAAACAAAUACUUUGCUUUUGGAUCUGAGAUAGGAGAUGUACCCAACUGUUUUGGAUAUCCUAUGAAGAUGGAUUUAUCCGCUUUGGGUUCGAGCUUAUCAGACUGAAACUUUUUCACAUAAGUGUCGAAGCCCCAAACUUUCAAGAAACGACAGUUUAGAUUUCUCUAAACCUCAGUCUAUACUGUGUCAUCUCAACGGAAAUACGCGGUGCCCUAUUUAAAGUGAAUGUGGUUCUCUAAUGCAUAACCCAUAAAUGAUAGUGGUAAUUCGAUAAGAGACAUCAUAGCAUGCACCAUACCAAAUAGUGCGUGGCUAUGACGUUCAGACACAUCAUCACACUAUGAUGUUCCAGGUGGCAUGAACCGCGAAAUAAUUUCCACAUUGUCUUAACUGCGUACCAAAACUUGUAACUGAGAUAUUCAUUUCUAUGAUCAUAUCGUAGACAGUUUAUCCUCUUGUUACGACGAACUUCACUCCGAAACAGAAUUGAACUUUUCAAUAUUUCAGACUUGUGAUUCAUUAAGUAAAUACUCUUGUAUCUGCUCAAAUCGUCAUUGAAGUAAGAACAUAAUGAUAUCCACUGCGUGCCUCAGCACCCAUUGGACUACAUACAUCAAAAUGUAUCACUUCCAACAAGUUACUAUCUUGUUUCAUCUCAAUGAAAACAAGGCCUUGCUCAUGUGGUAUGAUUUGCAUGUCACUAGUGAUUCAAAAACAAGUGAGUAUAAAUAUCCAUCAGCAUGGAGCCUCUUCAUGAAAUUUAUACCAACAUGACUCAAGCGGCAGUGCCACAAGUAAGUGGUACUAUCAUCAUUACCUCGUAUCUUUUGGCACCAAUAUCAUGAACAUGUGUAACACUACGAUCGAGAUUCAAUAAACCAUUGAAGGUGAUUAUUCAAGCAAAUAGAGUAACCAUUAUUCUCUUUAAAUGAAUAAUCGUAUUGCAAUAAACACGAUCCAAUCAUGUUCAUGCCUAACGCAAGCACCAAAUAACAAUUAUUUAGGUUUAACACCAAUCCCGAUGGUAGAGGGAGCAUGCGACGUUUUGAUCAUAUCAAUCUUGGAAACACUUCCAACACGUAUCAUCACCUCGCCUUUAGCUAGUCUCCGUUUAUGCCGUAGCUAUCAUUUCGUGUUACUAAUCACUUAGCAACCGAACCGGUAUCCAAUACCCUCAUGCUACUAGGAGUACUACUAAAGUAUACAUCAUGUAUAUCAAAUAUACUUCUUUCGACUUUUGCCAGCCUUCUUAUCUACCAAGUAUCUAGAGUUGCUCUGCCUCAGUGAUUGUUCCCCUCAUUACAGAAGCACUUAGUCUCAGGUUUGGGUUUAAUCUUGGGUCUCUUCAUUAGUGCAGCAACUGUUUUUCCAUUUCACGAAGUAUCCCUUCUAUCCCUUGCCUUUCUUGAAACUUAGUGGUUUUACAAACCAUCAACUAUUGAUGCUCCUUGAUUUCUACUUUCGCAGUGUCAAACAUCGCGAAUCGCUCAAGGAUCAUUGUAUCUAUCCUUGAUAUGUUAUAGUUCAUCACGAAGCUCUCACAGCUUGGUGGCAGUGACUUUGGAGAACUAUCACUAUCUCAUCUUGAAGAUUAACUCCGACUUGAUUCAAGCGAUUGUCAAACUCAGACAAUCUGAGCACACGCUCAACGAUUGAGCUUUUCUCCUUUACUUUGUGGACAAUAAAUCUUGUUGGAGGUCUCGUACCUCUUAACAAGGGCACAAGCAUGAAAUCAAAUUUCAUCUCUUUAGAACAUCACUUAUGUUCCGUGACAUUUCAAAACGUCUUCGGCGCCUUGCUUCUAAGCCAUUAAGUAUUUUGCACUGAACUAUCGUGUAGUCAUCAGAAACGUGUAUGUCGGGUGUUCACAACAUCUACAGACGACGCUCGAGGUGCAGCACACCGAGUGGUGCAUUAAGGACAUAAGCCUUCUGCGCAGCAACGAGGACAAUCCUCGGUUUUACAAACUCAGUCUGCAAAGUUUGCUACUAUCAACUUUCAACUAAAUUUUCUCUAGGAGCAUAUAAAACAGUAGAGCUAUAGCGCAAGCUACAUCGUAAUUCGCAAAGACCAUUAGAAUAUGUUCUUGACAAUUAGUUCAAUUAAUCAUAUUACUUAAGAACUCCCACUCAAAAAGUACAUCUGUCUAGUCAUUUGAGUGGUACAUGAUCCAAAUCCACUAUCUCAAGUUCGAUCAUCACGUGAGUCGAGAAUAGUUUCAGUGGUAAGCAUCUCUAUGCUAAUCAUAUCAACUAUAUGAUUCAUGCUCGACCUUUUGGUCUCAUGUGUUCCGAGGCCAUGUCUGCACAUGCUAGGCUCGUCAAGCUUAACCCGAGUGUUCCGCGUGUGCAACUGUUUUGCACCCGUUGUAUGUGAACGUUGAGUCUAUCACACCCGAUCAUCACGUGGUGUCUCGAAACGAAGAACUGUCGCAACGAUGCAUAGUCAGGGAGAACACAAUUUCGUCUUGAAAUUUUAGUGAGAGAUCACCUCAUAAUUCUACCGUCGUUCUAAGCAAGAUAAGGUGCAAAAAGGAUUAACAUCACAUGCAAUUUAUAAGUGACAUGAUAUGGCCAUCAUCACGUGCUUCUUGAUCUCCAUCACCAAAGCACUGGCACGAUCUUCUUGUCACCGGCGUCACACCAUGAUCUCCAUCAACGUGUCGCCAUCGGGGUUGUCGUGCUACUCAUGCUAUUACUACUAAAGCUACGUCCUAGCAAUGUAGUAAACGCAUCUGCAAGCACAAACGUUAGUUUAAAGACAACCCUAUGGCUCCUGCCGGUUGCCGUACCAUCGACGUGCAAGUCGAUAUUAACUAUUACAACAUGAUCAUCUCAUACAUCCAAUAUAUCACAUCACAUCGUUGGCCAUAUCACAUCACAAGCAUACCCUGCAAAAACAAGUUAGACGUCCUCUAAUUGUUGUUGCAUGUUUUACGUGGUGACCAUGGGUAUCUAGUAGGAUCGCAUCUUACUUACGCAAACACCACCACGAAGAUAUAUGAAUUGCUAUUUAACCUCAUCCAAGGACUUCCUCGGUCAAAUUUGAUUCAACUAAAGUUGGAGAAACCGACACUCGCCGGUCAUCUUUGAGCAACGGAGUUACUCGUAGCGAUGAAACCAGUCUCUCGUAAGCGUACGAGUAAUGUCGGUCCGAGCCGCUUCGAUCCAACAAUACCGCGGAAUCAAGAAAAGACUAAGGAGGGCAGCAAAAUGCACAUCACCACCCACAAAAACUUUUGUGUUCUACUCGAGAAGACAUCUACGCAUGAACCUAGCUCAUGAUGCCACUGUUGGGGAACGUCGCAUGAGAAACAAAAAAUUUCCUACGCGCACGAAGACCUAUCAUGGUGAUGUCCAUCUACGAGAGAGGAUUUCCGAUCUACGUACCCUUGUAGAUCGCACAGCAGAAGCGUUAGUGAACACGGUUGAUGUAGUGGAACGUCCUCACGUCCCUCGAUCCGCCCCGCGAACCGUCCCAUGAACCGUCCCGCGAUCCGUCCCACGAUCUAGUGCCGAACGGACGGCACCUCCGCGUUCAGCACACGUACAGCUCGACGAUGAUCUCGGCCUUCUUGAUCCAGCAAGAGAGACGGAGAGGUAGAUAAUUUCUCCGGCAGCGUGACGGCGCUCCGGAGGUUGGUGGUGAUCCGAUCUCGGCAGGGCUCCGCCCGAGCUCCGCAGAAACGCGAUCUAGAGGAAAAACCGUGGAGGUAUGUGGUCGGGCUGCCGUGGAAAAGUUGUCUCAAAUCAGCUCUAAUACCUCUGUAUAUAUAGGUGGGAGGGGAGGGACCUUGCCUUGAGGCUCAAGGAGCCCCAAGGGGGUCGGCCGAGCCAAAGAGGGGAAGUCCUCCCCUUCCAAACCGAAUCCAACUAGGUUUGGAAGGUGGAGUCCUUCUCUCCUUUCCCACCUCCCCUUUUUUUUCUCUUUGAUUUCUUUUUCUUUGGCGCAUAGGGCCUACUUGGGCUGUCCCACCAGCCCACCAAGGGCUGGUGCGCCACCCCCAAGGCCUAUGGGCUUCCCCGGGGUGGGUUGCCCCCCCCCCCGGUGAACACUCGAAACCCAUUCGUCAUUCCCGGUAACUCCAAAAACCUUCCGGUAAUCAAAUGAGGUCAUCCUAUAUAUCAAUAUUCGUUUCCGGACCAUUCCGGAAACCCUCGUGACGUCCGUGAUCUCAUCCGGGACUCUGAACAACAUUCAGUAACCAACCAUAUAACUCAAAUACGCAUAAAACAACGUCGAACCUUAAGUGUGCAGACCCUGCGGGUUCGAGAACUAUGCAGACAUGACCCGAGUGACUCCUCGAUCAAUAUCCAAUAGCGGGACCUGGAUGCCCAUAUUGGAUCCCACAUAUUCUACGAAGAUCUUAUCGUUUGAACCUCAGUGCCAAGGAUUCAUAUAAUCUCGUAUGUCAUUCCCUUUGUCCUUCGGUAUGUUACUUGCCCGAGAUUCGAUCAUCAUUAUCCGCAUACCUAUUUCAAUCUCGUUUACCGGCAAGUCUCUUUACUCAUUCCGUAAUACAAGAUCCCGCAACUUACACUAAGUCACAUUGCUUGCAAGGCUUGUGUGUGAUGUUGUAUUACCGAGUGGGCCCCGAGAUACCUCUCCGUCACACGGAGUGACAAAUCCCAGUCUCGAUCCAUACUAACUCAACGAACACCUUCGGAUAUACCUGUAGAGCAUCUUUAUAGUCACCCAGUUACGUUGCGACGUUUGAUACACACAAAGCAUUCCUCCAGUGUCGGUGAGUUAUAUGAUCUCAUGGUCAUAGGAACAAAUACUUGACACGCAGAAAACAGUAGCAACAAAAUGACACGAUCAACAUGCUACGUCUAUUAGUUUGGGUCUAGUCCAUCACGUGAUUCUCCUAAUGACGUGAUCCAGUUAUCAAGCAACAACACCUUGUACAUAAUCAGAAGACCCUGACUAUCUUUGAUCAACUGGCUACUCAACUAGAGGCUUACUAGGGACAGUGUUUUGUCUAUGUAUCCACACAUGCACUGUGUUUCCAAUCAAUACAAUUAUAGCAUGGAUAAUAAACGAUUAUCAUGAACAAAGAAAUAUAAUAAUAACUAAUUUAUUAUUGCCUCUAGGGCAUAUUUCCAACAGGUGUGCCUCCCCACUCAUCCCAAUGCGCAGGGGAGAGGGAAGGGGGGCAAACCCUAAGCCAGGUGGGCCUAAGGCCCACCAGGGGUGCGCACCACCCCUCCUCCCUCCCGUGGCCGCCGCCCCCUCUCCCAUCUAGGGCUGCCGCACCCCUUGGGGGUGGGAACCCUAAGGGCUGCGCCCCCUCCCCCUCCCCCUAUAUAUAGUUGAGGUUUCGGGGCUGUUUUGCACACAGUUUUCUCGCUCUCUCGGCGCAGCCCUGCCCUUCCUCCUCCUCCUCUCUGCCGGUGCUUGGCGAAGCCCUGCCGGGAGACCUCGUCUCUCCAUCGACACCAUGCCGUCGUGUUGCUGGAGUUCUUCCCCAACCUCUCCCUCCUCCUUGCUGGAUCAAGGCGUGGGAGACGUCACCGGGUUGCACGUGUGUUGAACGCGAAGGUGCCGUAGUUCGGCACUAGAUCGGAAUCACACCGCGAUCUGAAUCGCUGCGAGUACGACUCCAUCAACCGCGUUCUAGUAACGCUUCCGCUUAGCGAUCUUCAAAGGUAUGAAGAUGCUCUUACCCCUCUCUCGUUGCUGGUCUCUCCAUGGGAAGAUCUGAAUAUGGCAUAGGAAAAUUUUGAAUUUAUGCUACGUUACCCAACAGUGGCAUCCGAGCCAGGUUUUCUAUGUGUAGAUUCUAUGCACGAGUAGAACACAAAAGUUGUGGGCGAUGAUUUUUCAAUUUGCUUGCCGCUACUAGUCUUAUUGUUUUCCGGCGGUAUUGUGGGAUGAAGCGGCCUGGACCGACUUUACACAUACGCUUACGUGAGACUGGUUCCACCGACAGACAUGCACACCGUGCAUAAAGGUGGCUAGCGGGUGUUUGUUUCUCCUACUCUAGUCGGAUUGGAUUUGAUGAAAAGGGUCCUUAUGAAGGGUAAAUAGCUUUGGCAUAUCAUCGUUGUGGCUGUCACGUAGGUAAGAAGGCGUUCUUGCUAGAAACCCAAAUCAGCCACGUAAAACUUGCAACAACAAUUAGAGGACGUCUAACUUGUUUUUGCAGGGUUUGACAUGUGAUGUGAUAUGGCCAAAGUUGUGAUGUUGCAUGUAUGAUGUAUGAGAUGAUCAUGUUAUUGUAAUAGGUUUCACGACUUGCAUGUCGAUGAGUAUGACAACCGGCAGGAGCCAUAGGAGUUGUCUUAAUUUAUUGUAUGAGAUGCAACGCCAUGUGCUUACUACUUUUACUUCAUUGCUAACGGUUAGCUAUAGUAGUAGUGAUAGUAGUAGUUGGCGUGACGACUUCACGGAGACACGAUGAUGGAGAUCAUGAUGAUGGAGAUCAUGGUGUCACGCCGGUGACGAUGAUGAUCAUGCGAUGCCUGAAGAUGGAGAUCGAAAGGGCAAAGAUGAUAAUGGCCAUAUCAUGUCACUAUAUGAUUGCAUUGUGAUGUUUAUCAUGUUUUUCAUCUUAUUGCUUAGAACGACGGUAGCAUAAUAAGAUGAUCCCUCUUAAAAUUUCGAGAACUUAUUUCCCUAAGUGUGCACCGUUGCGAAGGUUCAUUGUCUCGAAGCACCACGUGAUGAUCGGGUGUGAUAGAUUCUAACGUUCGCAUACAACGGGUGUAAACCAGAUUUACACACGCGAAACACCUAGGUUGACUCGACGAGCUUAGCAUGUAAAGACAUGAUCUCGAAUACAAGAGACCAAAAGGUCGAAGAUGAGUCGUAUGGUUGAAUGCGAUCAGCAUGAAGUUGCUCACCAUGGUGACUAGUCCGUCUCACGUGAUGAUCGGACACGGGUUAGUCAACAUGGAUCAUGUAUCACAUAGAUGACUAAAGGGAUAUCGAUUUAAGUGGGAGUUCAUACUUAAUUUGAUUAAAUGAACUCAAUUUUCAUGAACGUGGUCUAAAAGUUGUCUUUAUAAAUAUUGUAGAUGGCCAACGUCAACCUCAAUUUCAAUGCAUUCCUAGAGAAAAACAAGCUGAAAGAUGAUGGUAGCAACUAUGCGGACUGGGUUCGCAACUUGAAGCUCAUCCUUGAAGCACCUAAAAAGUCUUAUGUCCUUGAUGCGCCGCUAGGUGACCCUCCCGCUCCCGCAGCAGCCCAGGACAUUCUGAACGUCUGGCAAACGCGGAGUGACGACUACUCUCUGGUUAGGUGUGGCAUGUUAUACAAUUUAGAAACGGGGCUCCAAAGGCGUUUUGAGCAACACGGUGCAUAUGAGAUGUUCCAAGAGCUGAAGCUAGUUUUUCAAUCUCAUGCCCAUGUCGAGAGAUAUGAAGUCUCCGACAAGUUCUUUAGCUGUAAGAUGGAGGACAACAGUUCUGUCAAUGAGCACAUACUCAAAAUGUCUGGGUUACACGGUCGUAUGACUUCACUUGGAGUCGAACUUCCGGAUGAUGCUAUAAUUGAAAAAAUCCUCAUGUCUCUCCCACCAAGCUACAAAGGCUUUGUGCGUAACUACAACAUGCAAGGGAUGGAGAAGACCAUUCCCGAGUUGUACUCGAUGCUCAAGUCUGCAGAAGUAGAAAUCAAGAAAGCGCAUCAAGUGUUGAUGGUCAACAAGACCACUAGUUGCGAAAAGGGCAAGGGUAAGAAGAACUUCAAGAAAGACGGCAAAGUUGUUGCCGCGCCCGGUAAGCCAGAUGUCGGGAAGAAGAAAAAGAAUGGACCCAAGCCUGAGACAGAGUGCUUCUAUUGCAAGGGAAAAGGUCACUGGAAGCGGAACUGCCCCAAAUACUUAGCGGACAAGAAGGCCGGCAACGUUAAAGGUAUAUGUGAUAUACAUGUUAUUGAUGUGUACCUUACCAGCGCUCAUAGUAGCUCCUGGGUAUUUGAUACCGGUGCUGUUGCUCACAUUUGCAACUCAAAGCAGGAACUACAGAAUAAGCGGAGACUGGCCAAGGACGAGGUGACGAUGCGCGUCAGGAAUGGUUCCAAGGUCGAUGUGAUCGCCGUUGGCAUGCUACCUCUACAUCUACCGUCGGGAUUAGUUUUAAACCUUAAUAAUUGUUAUUUAGUACCAGCUUUAAGCAUGAACAUUGUAUCGGGGUCUUGCUUGAUGCGAGACGACUACUCAUUUAAGUCAGAGAAUAAUGGUUGUUCUAUUUAUAUGAGUGAUAUGUUUUAUGGUCAUGCUCCGCUGGUGAAUGGUUUAUUCUUGAUGAAUCUCGAUCGUGAUGUUACGCAUAUUCAUAGUGUGAGUACCAAAAGAUGUAAAGUUGAUAAUGAUAGUCCCACAUACUUGUGGCACUGCCGCCUUGGUCAUAUCGGCGUUAAGCGCAUGAAGAAGCUCCAUACUGAUGGACUAUUAGAGUCUCUUGACUUUGAAUCAUUUGACACAUGCGAACCGUGCCUCAUGGGAAAGAUGACUAAGACUCCACUCUCAGGAAUAAUGGAGAGAGCAACCGACUUAUUGGAAAUAAUACAUACUGAUGUGUGUGGUCCAAUGAACGUUGAAGCUCGCGGUGGCUAUUGUUAUGUUCUCACUCUCACCGAUGAUUUGAGUAGGUAUGGGUAUAUCUACUUGAUGAAGCACAAAUCUGAGACGUUUGAAAAGUUCAAGGAAUUUCAGAGUGAGGUUGAGAAUCAACGUGACAGAAAAAUUAAAUGUCUACGAUCUGAUCGUGGAGGAGAAUAUUUGAGUCACGAGUUUGGCACACACCUAAGGAAGUGUGGAAUCGUUUCACAAGUGACGCCGCCUGGCACACCGCAACGCAACAGAGUAUCUGAACGUCGUAAUCGCACUUUAUUAGAUAUGGUACGAUCUAUGAUGUCUCUUACCGACUUACCGCUAUCAUUUUGGGGAUACACAUUAGAAACUGCAGCAUUAACUUUAAAUAGGGCACCGUCUAAAUCCGUUGAGACGAUACCGUAUGAACUAUGGUUUGGCAAGAAACCUAAGUUGUCGUUUCUUAAAGUUUGGGGCUGCGAUGCUUAUGUGAAGAAACUUCAACCAGAAAAGCUCGAACCCAAAGCGGAAAAAUGCGUAUUCAUAGGAUACCCUAAGGAAACUAUUGGGUAUACCUUCUAUCUUAGAUCCGAAGGUAAAACCUUUGUUGCCAAGAACGGAUCCUUUCUAGAGAAAGAGUUUCUCUCGAAAGAAAUAAGUGGGAGGAAGGUAGAACUUGAUGAGGUAAUUACACCCCCUCUCGAACAGGAUAGUAGCGCAGCGCGGGAAAUUGUUCCUGUGGCGCCUACACCAACUGAAGAGGAAGUUAAUGAUGAUGAUCAUGAAGCUUCGGAUCAAGUUACUACUGAACCGUGAAGGUCCACAAGGGCACGCUCCGCACCAGAGUGGUACGGCAACCCUGUGAUGGAAAUCAUGUUGUUAGACAACGGUGAACCUUCGAACUAUGAAGAAGCGAUGGAGGGCCCGGUUUCCAACAAAUGGCUUGAAGCUAUGAAAUCCGAGAUAGGAUCCAUGUAUGAGAACAAAGUAUGGACUUUGGUGGAGUUGCCCAAUGACCGGCGAGCCAUAGAAAAUAAAUGGAUCUUCAAGAAGAAGACUGAUGCAAACGGUAAUGUAACCGUUUAUAAAGCCCGACUUGUCGCAAAGGGUUUUCGACAAAUUCAAGGAGUUGACUACGAAGAGACUUUCUCUCCCGUAGCAAAGCUGAAAUCAGUCUGAAUCAUGUUAGCAAUUGCCUCCUUUCAUGAUUAUGAAAUUUGGCAAAUGGACGUCAAAACAGCGUUCCUUAACGGGAACCUUAAGGAAGAGUUGUAUAUGAUGCAACCAGAAGGUUUUGUCGACCCUAAGGGUGCUAACAAAGUGUGCAAGCUCCAGCGCUCCAUCUAUGGGCUGGUGCAAGCAUCUCGGAGUUGGAACAUUCGCUUUAAUGAGGUGAUUAAAGUGUUUGGGUUCAUACAGGUUUACGGAGAAGCUUGUCUGUACAAGAAAGUGAGUGGGAGCUCUGUAGCUUUCCUCAUACUGUAUGUGGAUGACAUAUUAUUGACGGGGAACAAUACAGAAAUGUUGGAGAGCAUAAAGGCCUAUUUGAACAAGAGUUUUUCAACGAAGGACCUUGGAGAAGCUGCAUACAUAUUAGGUAUCAAGAUCUAUAGAGAUAGAUCGAGACGCCUCAUAGGUCUUUCGCAAAGUACAUAACUUGACAAGAUAUUGCAUAAGUUCAAUAUGGAAAACUCAAACAAAGGGUUCUUGCCAGUUUUACAAGGUAUGAGAUUGAGUAAGACUCAGUCGCCGACCACGGCAGCAAAUAGAGAGAAGAUGAGUUAUGUCCCCUACGCUUCAGCCGUAGGCUCUCUAAUGUAUGCCAUGUUGUGUACCAGACCUGAUAUAAACCUUGCCAUAAGUUUGGUAGGGAGGUACCAAAGUGAUCCCGGUAUGGAACACUGGACAGCGGUCAAGAAUAUCCUUAAGUACCUGAAAAGUACUAAGGAAAUGUUUCUCGUUUAUGGAGGUGACGAAGAGCUCGUCGUAAAGGGUUACGUCGACGCUAGCUUCGACAUAGAUCUGGAUGACUCUAAGUCACAGACCGGAUACGUAUAUGUGUUGAAUGGUGGGGCAGUGAGCUGGUGCAGCAGCAAGCAAGAAGUCGUGGCAGCAUCUACAUGUGAAGCGGAGUACAUAGCUGCUUCAGAAGCGGCUCAUGAAGGAAUUUGGAUGAAGGAGCUCAUCACCAACCUUGGAGUGGUUCCAAGCGCGUCGGGUCCAAUGACACUCUUCUGUGAUAACACUGGGGCCAUUGCCAUAGCCAAGGAGCCCAGGUUUCACCGGAAGAUGAAGCACAUCAAACGCCGCUACAACUCCAUCCAGGACCAUGUCCAGAGUGGAGUGAUAGAUAUUUGUAAAGUACACACGGGUCUGAAUGUUGCAGACCCGUUGACUAAACCUCUUCCACGAGCAAAAGAUGAUCAACAACAUAAUGCUAUGGGUGUUCGAUACAUCACAAUGUAACUAGAUUAUUGACUCUAGUGCAAGUGGGAGACUGUUGGAAAUAUGCACUAGAGGCAAUAAUAAAAUGGUUAUCAUCAUAUUUCCUUGUUCAUGAUAAUAGUCUAUUGUUCAUGCUAUAAUUGUAUUAACAGGAAACAGUAAUACAUGUGUGAAUAAAUAGAUCACAAUGUGUCCCUAGCAAGCCUCUAGUUGGCUAGCUCGUUAGUCAAUAGAUGAUCAUGGGCAUUAGAUGUCAUUGAUAACGAGAUCACAUCAUUGGGAGAAUGAUGUGAUGGACAAGACCCAAUCCUAAGCAUAGCACUAGAUCAUAUUAUUCGUAUGCUAAAGCUUUUCUAAUGUCAAGUGUCUUUUCCUUCGACAGUGAGAUUAUGCAACUCCCGGAUACCGUAGGAGUGCUUUGGGUGUAUCAAACGUCACAACGUAACUGGCUGACUAUAAAGGUGCACUACGGGUAUCUCUGAAAGUGUCUGUUGGGUUGGUACGAAUCGAGAUCGGGAUUUGUCACUCUGUGUGACGGAGAGGUAUCUCUGGGCCCACUCGGUAGAACAUCAUCAUGAGCUCAAUGUGACUAAGGAGUUAGUCACACGAUGACGUGCUAUGGAACGAGUAAAGAGACUUACCGGUAACGAGAUUGAACAAGAUAUUGGUAUACCGACGAUCGAAUCUCGGGCAAGUUCUAUACCGACAGACAAAGGGAAUUGUAUAUGGGAUUAAUUGAAUCCCUGACAUCGUGGUUCAUCCGAUGAGAUCAUCGUGGAGCAAGUGGGAGCCACCAUGGGUAUCCAGACCCCGCUCAUGGUUAUUGACCGGAGAGGUGUCUCUGUCAUGUCUGCGUGUCUCCCGAACCCGUAGGGUCUACACACUUAAGGUUCGGUGACGCUAGGGUUAUAGGGAAUUGUUAUACGAGGUUACCGAAAGUUGUUCGGAGUCUCGGAUGAGAUCCCGGACGUCACGAGGAGCUCCGGAAUGGUCCGGAGGUAAAGAUUGAUAUAUAGGACGGAUGGUUUCGGACACCGGAAGUAUUUCGGGCAUCACCGGUAACGUACCGGGACCACCAGAGGUGGCCCCGGGGGUCCACCGAAGGGGGGCAACGACCCCGUGAGGUAAGAUGGGCCAAGUGGGGGAGGGAACCAGCCCCUAGGUGGGCUGGUGUGCCUCCCCACUCAGCCCAAUGUGCAGGGGAGAGGGAAGGGGGGCAAACCCUAAGCCAGGUGGGCCUAAGGCCCACCAGGGGUGCGCACCACCCCACCUCCCUGCCCUGGCCGCCGCCCCCUCUCCAUCUGGGGCUGCCGCAUCCCUUGGGGGUGGGAACCCUAAGGGCUGCGCCCCCUCCUCCCCCUAUAUAUAGUUGAGGUUUCGGGGCUGUUUUGCACACGGUUUUCUCUCUCUCUCUCGGCGCAGCCCUGCCCUUCCUCCUCCUCCUCUCUGCCGGUGCUUGGCGAAGCCCUGUCGGGAGACCCUCUCUCUCCAUCGACACCAUGCCGUCGUGCUGCUAGAGUUCUUCCCCAACCUCUCCCUCCUCCUUGCUGGAUCAAGGUGCAGGAGACGUCACCGGGCUGCACGUGUGUUGAACGCCGAGGUGUCGUAGUUCGGCACUAGAUCGAAAUCACACCGCAAUCUGAAUCGCUGCGAGUACGACUCCAUCAACCGCGUUCUAGUAACGCUUCCGCUUAGCGAUCUUCAAAGGUAUGAAGAUGCUCUUACCCCUCUCUCGUUGCUGGUUUCUCCAUAGGAAGAUCUGAAUAUGGCGUAGGAAAAUUUUGAAUUUAUGCUACGUUACCCAACACUUCUUCUUCUCCUUAGGGUGACUGGGUGCAUCUGAAUUAAUUCCUUGAGAAAAUUGAUCAAUUCUCUUAGGAUGACCUUUAGAAUACAAAGUUUCCUGAGUCAUUUUGCCUCCUCUAGUAAUGACUCUGACAAAGUUGUCAUUUAAUUCAUUGAGCAGGUCAUUCUAAGCUUGAAGUACUUGUUCUACCUGAGUAGUAAUCAUAGAGGCAUGUUUACUGAGAAGCUUCAGAUCAUUGACAUUUCUGUCUACGCAAGCACUUAAAUGACUAAGCAUACGAGUACUUUGUUCCAAAUGUUUGCUAACAUAAUCAUUGAAACUCUGUUGUUUGGCAACAAAGUUGCCAAAUAAAUCAAAGCAUAGGCUAGCAGGUUUAUCAAAAGGAAUAUCACUCUCAUCAAACCUACGCAGAGAAUUUACUUCCACUACCUGUAUCGGGUUAUCGAGACCAUGGAUCUCUUCGAUAGGUGGUAGAUAUUUGACAUCUUCAUAUCUAAUGCCUUUCUCUUGCAUAGAUUUCUUGGCUUCUUGCAUAUCUUCGGGACUGAGGAAUAGAAUACCUCUUUUCUUCGGAGUUGGCUUAGGAGGUGGUUCGGGAAUAGUCCAAGCAUUAUCGUUGAUCAAGAUGUUAUUCAGUAGAGUCUCAGCUUGUUCUACAGUUUGUUCCCUAAAAACACAACCAGCACAACUAUCUAGGUGGUUUCUAGAAGCAUCGGUAAGUCCGUUAUAGAAUAUAUCAAGUAUCUCGUUCUUCUUAAGAGGGUGAUAAGGCAAAGCAUUGUGUAGCUGGACGAGCCUCCCCCAAGCUUGUGGGAGACUCUCUUCUUUGACUUGAGCAAAGUUGUAUAUUUCCUGCAAGGCAGCUUGCAUCUUAUGGGCAGGGAAAUAUUUCUCACAGAAGUAAUAGACCAUAUCAUGGGGACUACUCACACAUCCAGGAGCAAGAGAAGUGAACCAGGCUUUAGCGUCAUCCUUUAGAGAGAAAGGAAACAUCUUAAGGAUAUAGUAGUGGCGGAUCUUCUCCUCACUCGUGAAAAGGGUGCCUAUAUCGUGUAGUUUGGUAAGAUGGGCUGCGACCGUCUCAGACUCAUAACCGUGAAAAGGAUCAGAUUCGACUAGAGAGAUUAUCUCAGGAUCUACAGAGAAUUCAUAAUCCUUAUCGGUGAUAAAGAUAGGUGAAGUGGCAAACUUUGGGUCGUAUUUCAUCCUAGCUUUCAGAGAUUUUUGCUUCCACUUGAAAGUAAUUUCUCAACGUCAUAGGCAUCCUUACACGCAAGAAAAUCCUCAGCUAUCUCUCCCUCCAUAACAUAACCCUCAGGUAUAUUAGGCAAUUCAUAUCUAGGAGAGCUAGAUCUAGCAGGAGCAAAAGCAGGUUCUAUCUCAAUAGUACCGGCAGUUUCAGAAGCAUCACGAGCAUUGGAGUAACUCUGGCAAUAUGAGCAAUAAGGAAUAACCCUAGUGGCAAAUCAGGCAAAGUAGUAUCUCUAGCAGUAUCAAGCAUAGCAUCAUCAGGCAAAAUAGCAUCUCUAGCAUCAUCAGGCAAAGCAGUAUCAAGCAUAUCAUCAUGGAUAGCAGUAUCAGGCAUAGUAUCUCUAGCACUAGGUGGUGUAGCAUCUCUAGCAGUAUCAGGCAUAGUAGCAUCAUAAGCAUCAUCAAGCACAGGCGACAUAUCAAGAUUUGUAGCAGGAGGUGGUGUCGCAAACUUACUCAUAACUGAAGGUGAAUCAAGUGCAGAGCUAGAUGGCACUUCCUUACCUCCCCUCGUAGUUGAGGGCAAGACUUUGGUUUUGGGAUCCUUCAGAUUCUUCAUAGUGAUCAACAGAUAUAAAUCCCAAGUGACUCAGAGAAUAUAGCAAUACCUCCCCGGCAACGGCGCCAGAAAAAUACUGCUUCUGUGACAACAGACCUUCCCCUGCAACGGCGCCAGAAGAAUGCUGCUAGCACUCCCCGGCAACGAAACUAGAAGAAUGUUGUUGAAGGCCCACCAGCGCGUGGGUUCGCGGCAGUUUUCGAGGGUAGAGUAUUCGACCCAAAUUUGUUGGUACACCAGUCAGGAGGUGAGAGAAUACUCUCGAGUAUUAGCAGCUGAAUGUGUCGGAUUCAACCACACCUGAAAGAUUAGUAUCUGCAAGCAAAGUAGUAGCAGCAAAGUAGGAUGAUAACAACGGUGUCAGAAACGAUCUGUUGACGGCAAGCUAUUCCUAACUGUCUUAUCAAUGGCGCUAGAAGUUGCUCGUUGACGGAAAUUGUCCUUUCCCGUCAACAACGAGCGAACUAGAAUUGUAGCAGGUAGCAGCAGUGUAACGAGUAACAGCAGUGGCAAGGAACAACAGUAGUGACAGCAUAGCAAGUAGCGAUAGUAGCAAGCGACGGUAGUAACAGCAGUAGCAGCAGAGCAAGGCAAGUAACAUCAGCAGUGGGACAAACUCGUGGGCAAUGGGUCGGUGAUUCGUUUGGAUGAUAUUCAUCAUGCAACAGUUAUAACACGGAGAGAUAUGUGGCUAGCUCCCGUUCGUCAAUGUGAUGUAGGCAUGCAUUCCGUGUGUAGUCAUACGUGCUUAGGGAAAAGAACUUGCAUGGCAUCUAUUGUCCAUCCCUCCCGUGGCAGCGGGGUCCAAAAGGAUACUAUGGGAUAUUAAAGUUCUCCUUUUAAUAAAGAACCGGAACAACGCAUUAGCACUUGGUGAACACAUGAACUCCUCAUACUAUGGUCAUCACCGGGAGUGGUUCCGGUUAUUGUCACUCCGGGGUUGCCGGGUCAUAACACAUAGUAGGUAACUACAACUUGCAAGAUCGGAUCUAAAACACACAUAUAUUGGUGAUAACAUAAUAAUUUCAGAUCUGAAAUCAUGGCACUCGGGCCCUAGUGACAAGCAUUAAACAUGGCAAAGUAGUAGCAACAUCAAUCUCAAAACAUAGUGGAUACUAGGGAUCAAUCCCCGUAAAACAAAUUCGGUUACAUGAUAGAUCUCAUCUGACUCAUCACCGCCCAGCGAGCCUACGAAUAGAUUACUUAUGAACAAUGAAGAGCUUCAUGGAAUUGGAGAGGGAAGAAGGUUGAUGAUGACGAUGGCGAUGAUUUCCCCUCUCCGGAGCCCAAAACGGACUCCAGAUCUGUCAUCCAGAUGAAGAACAGGAUGUGGCGGCGCCUCCGUAUCGCAAACGCGACGAAAUCUUCUCUUCUGAUUUUUUCUGGGUGAAAGUGAAUUUAUAGCGCUGAUAUUGGGGGCGGCAGAGCCACGUGGGCCCCACAAGCUUGGUUGCCGCAGCCAGGGGGGAGGUCGCGGCAAUAGGGCUUGUGGCCCACUCGCACAUGCCCUCCGGUGGAUCUCUGCGCAGGUAAAUUUUCAGGACGUUCCGAGAACUUUCAUUUCUGCACAAAAACAACACCAUGGCAAUUCUGCUGAAAACAGCGUCUGUCCGGGUUAGUUCCAUUCAAAUCAUGCAAAUUAGAGUCCAAAACAAGGGCAAAAGAGUUUGGAAAAGUAGAUACGAUGGAGACGUAUCAAUGGCCAGGCCAAAAAUUUGAGAUGUUUGAAAUUCAUUUCCAUUUCUUUGCAUGGGACCUAAAGAUGCAGCCAUGUACACUUCUAUGCUGUUUUAACCCAUUUUGAUGCACCAAACCUUGUGACUGUAGUUAAAAUUUUAAUUAUGCACAUUAAAUGCCUAUGAAACUCAAUUAACAUUUAAAAAGGCAAAGCAGACCCUCGAUACAAUUCCAUAUUUUAGCACCACACUCCUACUAGUCUAUGAUACCUCUAGAAAAAGUUCAGUGCGAGAAGAGGUAGCGCAUGUCAUUUCAUCAACAUCAUAGCAUGUUACGUGUGUUCCCUAUGGGAACCACAAAGGUUUUCCGUGAGAAGCUCUAGUUUGUAAGGGGCUUGUGCCAAAACUUUUCCCAAAUUGCUUAAUUUUUUUACCAUGGCCAUACAUGCCAUGUCAUGACACCGUGACAAGUUCAGUGAAUUUAUGACGAGUUUUCGAUUUACGUGAAUUUAAAACCCGACUGUCUCAAUGUUUUUGUGGACAAGCCAAGACCCCAAUAUGUUUGAAAUACAUUCACAUUUCUUGCAUGGGACAUAAAGAUGCAGCCAUGUACACUUAUAUGAUUUUUUAAUCCAUUUUGAUGCACUAGACCUUGUGAUUUUAGUUUAAAUUUUAAUUAUGCACAUUAAAUGCCUAUAAAAUUCAAUAAAUGUAUAAAAAGACCGAACGAAUCAUCUAUAAUUCCAUAUUUUAGCACGACACUCAUGUUAGUCUAUGUUGCCUCUAUAAAUAGUUCAAGGCGAGAAGAUUCAUGUAAGGUGACGCCUUCCAUCAUGUAAGGUGACACCUUCAAUAUUGGAACCAGAAAGAGCUUCCCAUGAGAAACUUUGGUUUGCAAGGGGCCUAUGCCAAAACUUGACCCAAAUUGGACAUUUUUUGUACCAUGCCACAUAUGGGCCAUGUCAUGGUACCAUGCCAAGUUUCAUGAAUUUCUGACAAGUUUUUGAUUUACAUGAAUUAGAAAAGCUUCUCAUUUCAUGCAUGGGGCCUCUAUAGAUGGAGUCAUGGACACUUAUAUGAUUUUUGAACCCAUUUUGAUGCAUGAGACCUUGUGAUUGUAUUUAAAAAUUGAAUUAUACACAUUAAAUGCCUAGAAAAUUCAUUUAAUGUAUAAAAAUUGCAAAAUAAGCCCUGAAUAAUUCCAUAUUUUAGCAAGGCACACUCAUUAGUCGAUAUUCCCUAGAGAAAGUUCAAGGCGAGAAGAUGACGGAUGCCAUGUCACUAAUUAAUGUGACAUGUUCCCUAUUGAAACCACAAAGCUUCUCGUGAGAAGCUCUGGUUUGUAAGGGGCUUGUGCCAAAACUUGUACCAAAUUGACAAAACAAUUACCACGACACAUAUGUGCCAUGUGAUGACAACAUGCCAAGUUUCAUGAAUUUUUCAAUUAUUUUGGAUUUACAGUAAAUUAAAACCAAGUUUAUCAAUGUUUGCAGCCAAGCCAAGACCCCCGAGAGGUUUGAAAUUCAUUCCCAUUUCUUGCUUGUGACAUAAAAAUGAAUCCAUGGACACUUAUAUGAUUUUUCAACACAUUAUGAUGCACCGAACGUCGUGAUUGUAGUUCAAAAUUGAAUUAUACACAUUAAAUGUCUAUAAAACUCAAUUAAUGUAUAAGAAAAUGUUCAACUCAACACUUAAUAAUUUUGUAUUUUAUCACGACACCACUAUUGGUCUUUGUUCACUGCAAAUAAAUCUUAUUGUAAUCCAAACAAAGUACCUUGCCGAAGUAACCUCAUUUUUUAUUUCUACAACAAUAUCAAAAUCAAGUAUAUCGCAAAUAGUUCAUGUGCAUGAAUCGUGUGUGAUGGAGUGCAAAAUAUCUUGGGCGAGUCCUCAGACAUGGUCUUUUGUUGGAGCGCUCGUCUUUUGUUAGAGUAAUAUUGUUUAGGUCAUCUAAUUAUGUUUAAUUUCCCGAUUGAGUAAGUGUGGGUAGUGUUGUAGGUUCUUUUGUGUAGUACUCAAAUUUGCAAGUGAUGUUAAAUUAAGCAAUGACUUGGAUAACCACCGUAACAAGGGAAAUUUUGACCAAAAUUUCUACUGUAUCCCCAUCUUCUCUUCCAAAUGAAAAUGACCAAAAUUUCUACGUUCACUAUCAUCACACAUGGGAUAAACUAUAGGAUCAUUUGUGAUGUUGGAUAUCGCACACAAUUCAGAUAAAAACAUUGUGUCCUAUGUGACUGCACGCGCCCAGUAUCUCGCCACACCGAACGCACAUUUUGGGUUGUCACACAAAUAUCUACCUCCCCCACACCCCGUACCAGCCAAAACCACAUUUCCCCCUUCUUCCCCUUCCCUUCAUAACUUCAAACCUGCAUAGCUUGGUUGUAGUGCCGCCUCCUCGCCGGCGACGCUUGAUAACCCACAAGUGUAGGGUAUCAUUUCUAGCCUUUUCCGGUAAGUCGGUGUGUUGAAUCCAACGAGGAGCUAAAGGUAGAAUUAAUAUUAUCUCAAGUUCUAUCAACCAUCGAUACAAAUCUACGCACACUAACGCUUGCUUUACCUAAAACAAGUAUGAAACUACUUUGCGGGAAGGAAACUAGAAGUACUUAGUAGGUGUAAUAGAUAGUUUUGCAAGCUAAUAAAGAACACGUAAAUAAAAGUUAGGGGAUGUUUAGGUAAAGAUUAAUUAAGUUAGUUGUUUAGUAGAAAGCUUUUUGUGUAAUGCAAGAAAAAGAUUGUCCAUAUGCAAUGAGGGAGAGGUAUACGCUAACACACUUUCCGUACUUGGAUCAUAUGCAUUUAUGAUUGGACCUCUAGCAAACAUCCGCAACUACUAGUAAUCAUUAAGGUAAACCAAACCAUAGCAUUAAACAUCAAGUCCUCUUUACUCCAACACUUUCCAUAUUUUUAUCUUUUAUCAUUGCACAUUAAAACUUAUCCUUGAGUAGGUAAAUGAUAAAACAUAAGUUUUGAUGUGGAAUGCUACGUGACAUAAUCUUGAACAAAUGUCUAAUCAUGGCAUGAACAUUAAGAUACAAGUGAUACAAGGUAAUAGUCUAUUAUUGGACAAAAAUACAUCUACUCUCAUGUUUACUAGCAAACAAUCGUGUCCUUUCAAAAUAACAGUGCUAAAUAACGCUAUCCCUACAAAAUCAUAUAGCAUGUCAUGCUUGGUCUUCCUAGCAAAAAGUAUAAAUCAUGAGUACCUCGAUGUCAAACCAAGCAAUUGGACCGUACUUCUUAAAGCGCUUCAGCUUUUUAUAACUCACUCAAUAUAUGAGUGUGAACCAUGGACAUAGCAUAUAUGUGAAAUAGAAUAUGGUGGUAGGUUUCAAAGGGAUGAAAGUCGAGAAGAAAGCCCCGCAACAACUAGGAAUAUUAACAGGCUAUGGAGAUGCCCAUUAAUAUAUAUUAAUGCAAGGAGUAGUAUUUGCCAUGGAACACAUGCAUUAGAGCUAUAAGUGUAUGAAAGCUCAACUAAAGCUAAGUGGGUGUGCAUCUAACUUUCUUCCUCAUGAAGAUCUCGUGCAUUUGAGGAAGCCCGUCACCGGAAUAUACAAGCCAAGUUCUAUAAUGAAAAUUCCCACUAGCAUAUGGAAGUGACAAAACAAAAGACCCUCUAUAUGAAGAACAUGGUGCCAAUUUGAGGCACAAGUGUGGAAUAAGAGGUAGUAGCACUGUCCCUUCUCUUUUUUCUCUCAUUUUUUUAUUUUUCUCCUUUUUUCCUUUUUUUAUUCUUUGGGGGUCUCUUUUUUCGUCUGGAGUCUCAUCCCAACUUGUGGGGGAAUCAUUGUCUCUGUUAUCCUUUCCUCACAGAGAUAGUGCUCUAAUAAUGAUGAUCAUCACAUUUUUAUUUACUUACAACUCGAUAUAACAACUCAAUGAUGAUAUGAUAUGACUAUAUGAAUGCCACGGGCAGUGUACCAUGAUGUGCAAUGAUCUAGCGUAACAUGUAUGAUAAUGAUGAACGGUGGCUUUGCCACAAAUAAUAUUUCAGCUACAUGAUCAUGCAAGGCAAUAUGAGAAUGAAGGUACUAGUCAUAUGAUGUGACGACGAAAGUUGCAUGGUAAUAUAUCUUGGAAUGACUAUGGAAAUGCCAUGAUAAGUAGGUAUGGUGGUUGUUUUGAGGAAGAUAUAAGGUGGCUUAUGUGUAAUAGAGUGUAUCGUGUCGUGGGGUUUGGAUGCACCGGCGAAGUUUGCACCAAUCCUCGAGGUGAGAAUGGACAAUGCACGGUACCAAAGAGGCUAGCAAAUAUGAGGUGGCGAGAGUGCAUACAUCCAUGGAUUCACAUUAGUCAUAAAUAACUCAAAUACUUAUUCCAAGCUUUUAUUUUCUCUCUCGAAGCAAAGUACUACUCGCAUGCUCCUAGGGAGGAGUUAACCAUCGCGUACUCCCGGUUAUCUAUACCUAAUAAUAAAACGGCUAUUGUUUCCGUCGGAAAACCCACCGCAGCAUUUUCAUAAAAAAGCCCCUGUAAUUUUUUUAUUCAACCCGCGCUCCAUCAUUUAUCUGCAACGUAAAAGGAAAAAACGAUUCGCUGCAAAAAUUAUACCCGUACGCAUCGCCUCCUCCCGUCGGUCCUGGGCCACCCUGGCAUGUGCCCAGGCCGCCGCCACACCACUCGCCGCCGCGGCCGAUCUCAAGCGCCACCGCUGCUGAUCUCAACCCACCCGCCUUCGCGGCCGUACCUCUCCCCGCUCACUGCCCCCGUUGCGGCGCUCGAGCUUAUCACAUCGACCCUGGUCCAUCCUGGCCUGUGCCUAGGCCGCUGCCACAUCACUCGCCGUCGCAGUCGACCUCAACCACCACUGUUGUCGAUCUCAACCCACCCGCCUCCGCGGCCGUACCUCUGCCCGCUUGCUGCCCCCGUUUCAACGCUCGAGCACAGCUUCUGGAUCAAAUCAACGUGACAGCUACAGUGACUAGGGAUGAUGCGUCUGCUCGAUGCAGAACGGCGGCGGCGCGCGGAUAAGGCGCGGCGGAGCGAAGUACUUGCAGGUGGAGGCGGGCCUCCAUGGCUCACACGGGGAACUCCGAGGUUAUGGCGCGGCAACGGCAACUCCUUAUGGCCAGAUAGAGGCGCCUAACCCUUGCUCCCCUCAUCGUAUCCCCUCCUCCGGCAGGAACUCAUCAUCUGGUGAGAUCCCCUCCCCAUGCCUCCAACCGNNNNNNNNNNNNNNNNNNNNNNNNNNNNNNNNNNNNNNNNNNNNNNNNNNNNNNNNNNNNNNNNNNNNNNNNNNNNNNNNNNNNNNNNNNNNNNNNNNNNUGUGCCAAGCACCGGCAAGAAAUUUUAUUUUGUGGGAAUUUGUUUGUUGAUGAAUGAAUGUAUUGAAUGUAAGAUUGUAUUGUUGUAGAGACAGAGAAUGGAACACCACCUUCAGUUUGUCGUCUGAUCCCACAUUCUCUACCCCAUGAAUGAAAUAAGAUAACAGACCAUUGAUCAAUUCACGUAGCCUCUUUGUUUUGCUUUGCUUGUCCUGCUCAAUUUCUCAUCAUGGUGGAAUUAACAAUGGACGGGUUGAUUCCUCAACAAAAUAGGAUAGGACUAACUACAUUAGUUAGUUAGCUUAUUAUUUUAAUAAAUAAAAAUGAUUAUAAAAAAGAUUAAAAGCGUGUGGUAUUUUUUUCUCCCGUUGCAAUGCACGAGCCCUUUUGCUAGUAACAAUAGAAAGAAUUUAAAUAAAGGAUAAAUUAUGAUCCAACUUCAUCGCAUAACUAGAGACUAUAUGUGCAUGCUUCGAGAAUCACAAACCUCAACAUCAAUAUUUUUACUAAACCACAAUCAUUCAUUGUACCCCCACAUAUUACCAUCUUAAUAUCGCAAAAGUAUUACACGGAAUCAAACAUAUCAUAUUCAGUGAUCUACAAUUUAUGUAGGAUUUUAUGACUAACCAUGUAAACGACCAAUUCCCGUUGACUCUCUAAAUAGGUAUAAGUGAAGCAUGAGAGUCUAAUUAUUUCUACAAAAUACCAUGCUCUAAUAAAUAUAAGUGAAGUAAAAGAGCAUUCUACAAAUGAUGGUUUUUUAUAUGUAAACAAACAGGCAUCCAACUUCAAAUGAUAGAAGUGAAGCACAUGAAGCACUCUAUAAAGCCAUACUAAAAAGAUACAAGUGAAGUGCAAAGAGAAUUAUAUAAAUCAACCAUGGACUUCCCAUACCAGCAUAGUGCAUUACUAAAAUGAAAAUAAGGCACAAGUGAUAACCCACAAGUAUAGGGGAUCGCGACAGUCUUCACGGGUAGUAUUUCACCCUAAUCUAUUGAUUCGACACAAGGGGGCCAAACAAUAUUUAUUGGCCUUGACAGUUGAGUUAAAAAUUCAAACGCACAUGGGAUAUCUCUCUGCAACAAAGUCUUAGUAGCAUGGUAAAUUAUAGUAGUAGAAGUAACAGUGAUAGCAGCAAUUUUGGUAACAACAAUAAUAGUAGCGAUCGAGUAACAGGUGUGACAGUAAUAGCACGAGUAGUAACUUAGCAAGAUUCAGUAUAUGUAAAGCGUGGGCAUGUGGAUCGGUGAUGGAUAAGGAUUUAGAUGACAUCAAUCAUGUAAUAUUUACACACUAGGGCAACACAUAACUAACUCAAGUUCAUCAAUGUAAUGUAGGCAUGUAUUCCGUAUAUAGUCAUACGUGCUUGCGAUAAGAACAUGGAUGCCAUCUUUUGUCCUACCCUAUCGUGGCAGCGGGGUCCUAUUAGAAACUAAGGGAUAUUAAGGCCUCCUUUUAAUAGAGAACAGGAACAACGCAUUAACAGAUGGUGAAUACAUGAACUCCUCAAACUACGGCGAUCACCGGAAAGAAUCCCAAUUAUUGUCACCUUGGGGUAUGUUGUUCAUGACACGUAAUAGGUGACUACAACAUGCAAGAUUGGAUCCACGUCACUCUUAUAUUCAUGAAAACAUAAUAGGUUCAUAUAUGAAAUCAUGGCACUCGGGCCCUAGUGACAAGCUUUAAGCAUAGCAAAAUCAUAGCAACCUCAAUCUCAAAACAUAGUGGAUACUAGGGAUCAAGCCCUAUCAAACUUAAAUCGAUUACAUGAUCAAUAUCAUCCAAUCCCACCACCGUCUAGAAAGCCUACAAAGGAAUUAAUCACCCCCGUAGGCGUGCAUCAUGGCGGUGUUGAAGCAGAAGAGUUGGUGAUUACGGUAAUGAAUCCCCCUAUCCAGUGCCCCAAAAGGACUCCAGAUAAGCCCUCCCGGGAAAGAACAAUAGAUGGUGGCGGCUUUGUCUCAUAAAAAGCGAUGAAAUCUUCUCUAUGAUUUUUUCUCCUCGUAGGCCCCACAAGCCAUCAGGGCACAUCCAGGGGGUGGGCCCUAUUGGUUUGUGGCCCAUAGACAACCCCCCUCUAGUAGAUAUUCGCCCCAUAAUUCAAUAUAUAUUCCAAAAAUUAUUCAGAAAAAGGUUCGGCCAAUUCUGGGAACUUUUAUUUCUAUACAAAAAUAACAGCAAGGUAGUUCUUGAUUCGACGGUAUUGUUGGAUUGAAGCGGCCUGGACCAACAUUACUCGUACGCUUACGAGAGACCGGUUUCAUCGACCAACAUGCAACUCGUUGCAUAAAGAUGACNNNNNNNNNNNNNNNNNNNNNNNNNNNNNNNNNNNNNNNNNNNNNNNNNNNNNNNNNNNNNNNNNNNNNNNNNNNNNNNNNNNNNNNNNNNNNNNNNNNNNNNNNNNNNNNNNNNNNNNNNNNNNNNNNNNNNNNNNNNNNNNNNNNNNNNNNNNGUUGGUUUCUUCAACUUUAGUUGAAUUGGAUUUGACCGAGGCGGUCCUUGGAGAGAGGUUAAAUAGCAAUUUGCACAUCUCUUGUGGUUUUUGCAUAAGUAAGAUGCGAUCAUACUAGAUACCCAUAGCAGCCACGUAAAACAUGCAAAAAUAAAUUAGAGGACGUCUAACUUGUUUUUGCACGGUAUACUUAUGAUGUGAUAUGGCCAAAGACAUGAUGUGAUAUAUUGGAUGUAUGAGAUGAUCAUGUUGUAAUAGUUAAUAUCGACUUGCACGCCGAUGCUACGGCAACCGGCAUGAUCCAUAGGGUUGUCUUUNNNNNNNNNNNNNNNNNNNNNNNNNNNNNNNNNNNNNNNNNNNNNNNNNNNNNNNNNNNNNNNNNNNNNNNNNNNNNNNNNNNNNNNNNNNNNNNNNNNNNNNNNNNNNNNNNNNNNNNNNNNNNNNNNNNNNNNNNNNNNNNNNNNNNNNNNNNNNNNNNNNAACGUUUGUGUUUGCAGAUGUGUUUACUAUAUGGCUAGGUUGUAGCUUUAGUAGUAAUAGCAUAGAUAGCAUGAUAAUAAUGAUGGCAGCAUGAUGAUGGAGAUCAUGAUGAUGAAGAUCAUGGUGUGGCGCCGAUGAUGAUGAAGAUCAUGCCGGUGCUUUGGUGAUGGAGAUCAAGAAGCACAAGAUCAUGGCCAUAUCAUGUCACUUAUGAAUUGCAUGUGAUGUUAAUCCUUUUAUGCACCUUAUCUUGCUUAGAACAACGGUAGCAUUAUAAGGUGAUCCCUCACUAAAAUUUCAAGAUAAAACUAUGUUCUCCCCGACUGUGCACCACUGCAACAGUUCGUCGUUUCGAUACACCACGUGAUGAUCGGGUGUGAUAGACUCAACGUUCACAUACAACGGGUGCAAAACAGUUGCACACGCGGAACACUCGGGUUAAACUUGACGAGCCUAGAAUGUGCAGACAUGGCCCCGGAAUACAAGAGACCAAAAGGUCCACCAUGAAUCGUAUAGUUGAUAUGAUUAGCAAUUUAGCAUAGAGAUGUUUACCACUGAAACUAUACUCAACUCACGUGAUGAUCGGAUUUGAGUUAGUGAAUUUGGAUCAUGCCACACUCAAGUAACUAGAUGGAUGUCUAUUUGAGGGGGAGUUUAUUAGUAAUUCGAUUAGUUAAACUCUAAUUGUCUUGAACAUAGUCUAAGUCCACUUUGCAAUAUUUUAUGUUGUAGAUCAAUGGCUAACGCAGUAGCAACCCUGAAUUUCAAUACGUUCCUAGAGAAAGCUAAGCGGAAAGAUGAUGCUAGCAACUUCGUAGACUGGGCUCGUAAUCUUAGGCUCAUCCUACAAGAUGGGAAAAAGAAUUAUGUCCUUGAUGCUGCGCUAGGAGAUGAACCACCCGCUACGUCUGACCAAGAUGGUUUGAACGCUUGGCAAUCACAUAAGGAGGACUACUCAGUAGUUCAAUGUGCAGUCUUGUAUGGCUUGGAACCGGGACUUCAACGGCGCUUUGAGCGUCAUGGAGCAUAUGGGAUGUUCCAGGAGUUGAAGUUUAUCUUUCAGAAGAACGCCCAGAUCGAGAGGUAUGAGACCUCCGAUAAAUUAUAUGCUUGCAAGAUGGAGGAGCAUUCGUCUGUCAGUGAACAUGUGCUCAAAAUGUAUGGGUACUCAAACCGUCUAGCUGAGCUGGGGAUUGAACUCCCGCAAGAGGCUAUCACUGACAGAAUUCUUCAAUCACUGCCACCUAGCUAUAAGAGCUUUGUGUUGAACUAUAACAUGCAAGGGAUGAACAAGUCACCCGACAAGUUAUUCGCGAUGCUGAAAGUCGCAGAGUCGGAACUCUGGAAAGAGCAUCAAAUGUUGAUGGUCAAUAAGACCACUGGUUUCCAGAGAAACGGCAAAGUCAAGAAGGCUAACUCCAAGAAGAGCGGCAAGACUGUUGCCAAUCCGACGAAGAAACCCAAGGCUGGACCUAAGCUGGAAACAUACUGAUAUUAUUGCAAGGGGAUGGGUCAGUGGAAGNNNNNNNNNNNNNNNNNNNNNNNNNNNNNNNNNNNNNNNNNNNNNNNNNNNNNNNNNNNNNNNNNNNNNNNNNNNNNNNNNNNNNNNNNNNNNNNNNNNNACACAUAUAUUGGUGACAACAUAAUAAUUUCAGAUCUGAAAUCGUGGCACACGAGCCCUAAUGACAAGCAUUAAGCAUGGCAAAGUAGUAGCAACAUCAAUCUCAGAACAUAGUGGAUACUAGGGAUCAAUCCCCGUCAAAACUAACUCGAUUAGAUGAUAGAUCUCAUCCUACUCAUCAUCGCCAAGCGAGCCUACGAAUAGAUUACUCACGAAAUAUGAAGAGCUUCAUGGAAUUGGAGAGGGAAGAAGGUUGAUGAUGAUGAUGGCGACGAUUUCUCCUCUCCGGAGCCCAAAACGGACUCCGGAUCUGUCCUCGAGAUGAAGAACAGGAUGUGGCGGCGCCUCCAUAUCGCAAACGCGAUGAAAUCUUCUCUUCUAAUUUUUUCUAGGCGAAAGUGAAUUUAUAGAGCUGAGAUUGGGGGCAGCAGAGCCACAUGGGCCCGAGAAGCUUUGUUGCCGCGGCCGGGGGGGCCGUGGCAACACGGCUUGUGGCCCACUGGCCCAUGCCCUCCGGUGGAUCUUUUCUGCACAGGUAUUUUUCAUAUUUUCCAGAAAAAUUCUCCGUAAAUUUUCAAGACGUUCUGAGAACUUUCAUUUCUGCACAAAAACAACACCAUGGCAAUUCUGCUGAAAACAGCGUCAGUCCGGGUUAGUUCCAUUCAAAUCAUGCAAAUUAGAGUCCAAAACAAGGGCAAAAGAGUUUGGAAAAGUAGAUACGAUGGAGACGUAUCAAACUCCCCCAAGCAUAAAACCUUGCUUGUCCUCAAGCAACCGAGUUGACAAACUGAGAGAAAAGAAAAAAACUUUGACAAACUCUGUUUGAUCUUGUUGUUGCAGUUAUGUCUAACUCAUAACCAGAAUUUCAGCAAGAUCACAAGUUAACCACAUAAGCAAGUGACACAAAGGUCUCACGGUAAACUAAUAUCAAUGUCAUAAUCAGCUAGCGAGCAAAUAAUAAUGAGUUUCAGAUACCAACAAUUCAAUCAAAACAAGCAUGAAGCAAUAUGAAUAGGUGGUAUCUCGCUAGCUCUUUCUGAGACCGCAAAACAUAAAUGCAGAGCACUUUCAAAGAUCAAGGGCUGACUAAACAUUGUAAUUCAUAGCAAUGAAGAUCCAGUCAUAGUCAUACUCAAUAUCAAUCAAAAGCAAAGCAUAAAUAUGACAGAGGUGCUCUCUAAUUGGUGCUUAUAUAAGAAGAGGAUGACUCAACAGGAAAAUAAAUAGACAGGCCCUUCGCGGAGGGAAGCAUUGAUUUGUAGAGGUGCCAGAGAUCAAGCUUUGAAAACAGAGAUAAUAAUUUUGGGUGGCAUCCUUUCAUUGUCAACGCAAUGACCAAGAGUUCUCAAUAUCUUCCAUGGUAGUCAUGCUAUAGGCGGUUUCCAAACAGAAAAGUAAAGUUUUAACUCCCCCGCCACCAAUCAAUCACACUCCACGGCUAGCCGAAUCCUCGGGUACCGUCCAUACUAACAUCAAUCCGGGGGGAGUCUUGUUUUACAGUUAUGUUUUCGAUUUAAGCGUGGAACUGGGCAUUCCAAUUACCGGCUCCUUUCUCGUGAAUGACAGUGAAUAAACACAUGUCGAGGAUAACACGCCUAACAUGGAAGAUACCAAUAGCCCCCUGUCACCACAUGAGCAGUUCGGGCAUGCAAAACAGAUUAUUUCUUGAAGGUUUAGAGAAUGGCACAUGCAAAUUUACUUGGAGCGGCAGGUAAAUACCGCACAUAGGUAGGUAUGGUGGACUCUCAUGGAAAAACUUUUGGGUUUAUGGAAGUGGGUGCACAAGCAGUAUUCCGCUUAAUACAAGUGAAGGCUAGCAAAAGACUGGGAAGCGACCAACUAGAGAGCGACAACAGUCAUCAAGAUGCAAUGACUUUGACUAACAUGGAGUGCAAGCAUGAACAGGAUAUAAAUCACCAUGAACACGAACAUCAUAGAGGCUAUGUUGAUUUUGUUUCAACUACAUGCAUGAACAUGCGCCAAGUCAAGCCACUUGAAUCAUUCAAAGGAGAAUACCAUCCUAUCAUACUACAUCAUAGUCAUCUCAAAAUCUAUGUUGGCAUUCAAGACAAACCAUUAUAAGCUCCUAGCUAAAUAAGCAUGGCAUCAGAAACUAUGAUCUCUAAGUUGUCAUUGCAAACAUGGUUCUCUCACAACAAAGCUAAAUCUGGGACGACAAGCUAGUCAUAUUUACAAAAACAAAAUAGAUAGAGUUCAUACCAGCUUUUCCAGUCUCAGUCACUUCAUCAUGUAUCAUCAUUAUUGCCUUUCACUUGCACAAUCGAACGAUGUGAACAAUAAUAAGCGUGCUCGUGCAAUGGACUAAGCUGAAUCUGCAGGCAAACACAAAGGAGAAGACAAAGUAAUAUGGCUCUUUGAAAGCUAAACAGGUAUGCAUGCAAGAGCCACUAAACAUUGUAACCAAUAUCUUCUACCUUGACCCAAAGAAAAAGAAAACUAUUUACACGGGAAAGCUCCCAACAAGCAAAAUAAGAAAGGAAAAUCUUUUUGGGUUUUUUCAAAAGGACACAAAACAAGAAAACAAAAAUAAACUAGCAUGGAUAAUACAGUGGCAAAGUGUAAACACCGGCUAACAAGGUGAAAGCAUAAGCAUGAAUGUAAUGUCGGUGAGAACACGUACUCCCCCAAGCUUAGGCUUUUGGCCUAGCUUGGUCCACUCCCAAGGCGGGAAAUAACCAGCUCCGGGGUACUCCGGAGCGGACUGUGGAUGCCACUGCUGUGUGAACUCCUCUGGCUCCCACUGAUAAACUGGCGUCUGGUACUCGACUGGCGGCUCGGGCACGGGCACCUGUGAUUGGGCUAAGCCCCAAUAUAUGCGUAGAUGUGUGAGGGAAUAAUAAUGUACCUACCUGCAUAAAGGUUGAACAAAGAAGGAGCAGGCAAAGUAAUAGUCUCUCGAGUACCCUAACUAAAUACCAGGUUAUAAAUCAUCCGUCUACUAGCAUCUCUAUCCAGAAAAUCAUGGCGAACCAUGCUGUCAUAAUCCAGAUAUUUCUCAGGGAGAAGCAUCUCUUCUUCCUCGCGAAGUCUAAUAGGUAUCUCAAAGUGUCUAGUGAUACGUCUCGAAUGUAUCUAUAAUUUUUGAUGGUUUCAUGUUGUUAUCUUGUCAUCUUUGGAUGUUUUAUGUACCUUUUAUAUCUUUUUUGGGACUAACUUAUUAAUUCAGUGCCAAGUGCGAGUUCCUGUUUUUUCUGUGUUUUUGGCUCUUUUCAGAUCUGAUUUUGGAACGGAGUCCAAACGGCAUAAAAUCCCCGAAAUAAAUUUUUCCCGAACGGAAGAAGAUCAGGGGGCUUGAGGGCCAAGCCAGGAGGGCUACACGGGGCCCACAAGCCCCCUAUCCGCCACCAGGGGGUGGCGGUGGGCAGGCUUGUGGCCUACCUGGCGCCCCCCUGACCUAGAUCCUUCGCCUAUAUAUUCCCUAAAAUACAGAAAAAAAAUCAAGGGAUCCACGAAAAUAUUUUCCGCCGCUGCAAGCUUCCGUUUCCGCGAGAUCUCAUCUGGAGACCCUUCCCGGUGCCCUGCCGGAGGGGACAUUGGAGCUGGAGGGCUUCUACAUCAACAUCAUCGCCUCUCCAAUGACUCAUGAGUAGUUCACUUCAGACCUACGGGUCUGUAGUUAGUAGCUAGAUGGCUUCUUCUCUCUCUUGGAUCUUCAAUACAAAGUUCUCCAUGAUCUUUAUGGAGAAAUAUCCGAUGUAAUCCUCUUUGGCGGUGUGUUUGUCGAGAUCCGAUAAAUUGUGGAUUUGUGAUCAAGAUUAUCUAUGAUAUAUAUUUGAGUCUUUGCUGAUUUCUUAUAUGCAUGAUUNGAUAUCCUUGUAAGUCCCUCCGAGUCUUGGGUUUUGUUUGGCCAACUAGAUCUAUGAUUCUUGCAAUGGGAGAAGUGCUUGGUUUUGGGUUCUUACCGUGCGGUGACCUUUCCGAGUGACAGUAGGGGCAGCAAGGCACACAUCAUAUAGUUGCCAUCAAGGGUAACAAGGUGGGCUUUGUCGUAGAUAUGAGAUUGUCCAUCUACAUCAUGUCAUCUUGCUUAAGGCGUUACUCUGUUCUUUUGGACUUAAUACACUAGAUGCAUGCUGGAUAGCAGUCGACGGGUGGAGUAAUAGUAGUAGAUGCAAAAAGUAUCGGUCUACUUGUUUUGGACGUGAUGCCUAUAGAUAUAAUCAUUGCCAUAGAUGACGUCACGACUUUGCGCGGUUCUAUCAAUUGCUCGACAGUAAUUUGUUCACCCACCGUCUACUCGCUUUCAUGAGAGAAGCCACUAGUAAACACUACGGCCCCCGGGUCUAUUCACACCUAUCGUUUCCACUUUCGCUUUUACUUUGCUUUGUUACUUUGUUGCUUUCAGUUCUCACUUGGCAAACAAUCUAUAAGGGAUUGACAACCCCUUCAUAGGGUUGGGAGCAAGCUUUUUGUGUUUGUGCAGGCACUUGAGAUACUCCUUCACUGGAUCGAUACCUUGGUUCUCAAACUGAGGGAAAUACUUACCAUCGCUGCGCUACAUCACCAUUUCCGCUUCGAGGGAACACCAACGCAAGGCUCCAAGGCCACGGGGGAAUCCUUUGCAUAUUUGCCUAGGAAAUCCCUUAAGGUGUAGCCGUAGCAGAAGGAUUCCUGGUGCCGUUGUUGAGGAGUAUCAAGACAAGAACAGUCUCCCGUCAACACGCCUAUUUCUGGCGCUGUUGGAAGUUCUUAUGUUGAAGUACCAUAAGUAUUUAUGGCGCCGUUGCCGGGGAAGGAGAGAUCUAUCCAAGUAGGUCUCAUAAACUCUUCUCUUGCAUUUACUUUUGUUGCUAGUUGCCUCUCGUUUUCCUCUCCCCCACUUCACAUUUGCCGUUUUCAUUUGCCUUUCUCCUUCGCCGUUUUCUUUUGCUUUUUUCGUUCACCCUUUUCUCUCGCUUGCUUUCUGUUCACUUGUGCGCCAUGUGCCUUCAAUAUGCUUGCAUCUUCGCUUGCUGAAAAUCUAGUGAUAUGGAUCCUCAUCCACUUGCUAAUCUCUUUAAGAGACCCACUCGUGUGGAACAAAUUGCUAGUGAGUUGAGGGCAAUUGACUAUUUCUUUGGAGUUUUGCGUAAGAUGCGUGAAUCUGAAAAUUGUGAGGAAGAAAUUCAUGAAGUGAUUCACGAGGGCUCCUUGGAUGAAAAGCAUGAUUGCAAUGGUUUCACUAUAAAUUCUAUUAGUGACAAUCAUGCUAAAAAUAUGCAAAACCCUAAGCUUGGGGAUGCUAGUUUUGCUAUGNNNNNNNNNNNNNNNNNNNNNNNNNNNNNNNNNNNNNNNNNNNNNNNNNNNNNNNNNNNNNNNNNNNNNNNNNNNNNNNNNNNNNNNNNNNNNNNNNNNNAGUUAUAGCUAGGCCGUCUGUCAAAUUUCAUCGCGAUUGGAGUUUGUUUGAUACCCGAACCGUAAACCUAUAGCGGCACUAUAGCCGAUCAAACGUGAGGCGUUUCGGUAUUUUAAACUUUGUCGUCGGGUUGCCUGUUUUCCCUCCCAUCUUUGCCUAGCCCCUCUACACAGUGCACCGGCCUGCGCGCAACCUAGCCCGAAAACCUCCCGGAACCCGAACCCGGUGGUCGUAACCGUUGGGUCCGGAUCAACCCCGUUAUACCGCAAAUCGUCAUCGGUUUGUCCNNNNNNNNNNNNNNNNNNNNNNNNNNNNNNNNNNNNNNNNNNNNNNNNNNNNNNNNNNNNNNNNNNNNNNNNNNNNNNNNNNNNNNNNNNNNNNNNNNNNNNNNNNNNNNNNNNNNNNNNNNNNNNNNNNNNNNNNNNNNNNNNNNNNNNNNNNNNNNNNNNNNNNNNNNNNNNNNNNNNNNNNNNNNNNNNNNNNNNNNNNNNNCCUAAUCUAACUAACCCUCUAUAUUUAUAGACCACCCCUACCUAAUUAGGAACAAACCCUAACUCCUAGGGGUCUUGUCCCGCAGCAGCAGCCGCCCACCUCGUUUUACCCGUCAGGCCAACCUCCACUCGAUCCCAUCCUCAUUUUCCACUCCUAGGUCCGAGUUCCCCAUCGCCCGUAGUAGAUCAAGGGAAGCCUCAAUCCCGUCGCCCCCCCNNNNNNNNNNNNNNNNNNNNNNNNNNNNNNNNNNNNNNNNNNNNNNNNNNNNNNNNNNNNNNNNNNNNNNNNNNNNNNNNNNNNNNNNNNNNNNNNNNNNNNNNNNNNNNNNNNNNNNNNCCCCCCCCCCCCCGUGCAUCCUGCAGGAGCAGCAGUGCCCGCGUUGGCAUGCUCCCUGGCCCGAGGCCUUGACGCCGCAUCAGCAACCUUGGCGACCACAGCAGCGGACCCUCGCUUGCCUUCGACAGUAGCACCAGCAGGUUCCCUGCUCCCUUGCCAAGCACCUCCUCUUUCUCUUCCCUAUGCUCUCCUUCCCCUCUAGUUUUUAUCCCUGUCUUGUUCCAUUUCUUCUGUGCUAGAGGAGAACACAGCCGCAGCCGAGGUAGCCUGUGAGCGCGCGUUGGAGCCUCGGACAGCCCGCUCGGCGCGCCAUGCUCUCCCGUGCCAUCCGUCGUCGUCAGGUCGCCGGGAGCCCUGCUUGUGAGUGCCGCCGAUGGUCCAGGGUCGCCGCUGACCUGGAUCCGCCCUGAUCCGCCCCCCCCCNNNNNNNNNNNNNNNNNNNNNNNNNNNNNNNNNNNNNNNNNNNNNNNNNNNNNNNNNNNNNNNNNNNNNNNNNNNNNNNNNNNNNNNNNNNNNNNNNNNNACAAUAUCAAAAUCAAACUCACCAUGGCAUCGACGCACACGUAGUACCUCCUGCCUGGGUUCGGAAUGCUCGAGGAGAUCCAUCUUGGUGCCUUCUGACGAGGAUUGCACCAGCAAAGCUUCGCCGGCUCGUAAGCCAUCAAGCUCUCCCUGUAGGGCACCGGCGACCUCGACUCCUCGCCUCUCCUUCCUGCGGCUCGAAGGAAGCCAGGAGCAGCAACAACAGAAUAACCCGAUGACCACGACAUUCCCCUGAAUAGAUCAGCUGCCGUCCUGCGCAAUGUGCUCCGCCGCCGCGCCGCUCAAGAUCCGCCGCCGUCGCCCCUAACCCUACUCCUCCCACUUCAAAAUCCCCAUAUACUUUGAUGUGGCCUCAUCUCUCACCACGCGUUGUGGUUAUAACGCAACCUGGCCCAUCAGACAUAAAAAAAUCCUGGCCACGUCAAUGUGUUUACCUCUAAAACGCUAUCAAGAUUUGAUUUAGACUGGGAUUUAAAAGUUUAGGAUAUAAACAACAGAAAUUUCCAAUUUAAGGUUCGAUUCAUUGAAGAACUAUCAGUUCAAGAUUUAAAAUGAACAUUUUCCGAUCUGCCUUCACCCAGAAGCGAUCCACGGCAAUGGGCUUACUGGACCAGUGGAGAAGAGCACUCCGGUCACCGAGCGGCGACACGACACGAUUUGGCCACACCGCCCACCGCUCUUCCCACUUCGCCAUCUGGAGACUUCCAGAAGGCAGCAGAACCCCCAAAUCCUCCUCGCUUCUACGCUGCACGAUCAAACCAACUCCCGAAAAUCCCACGCAAAAGAAGCGAAAAAUUAAAACGACAUGAACUCCCUCAAGAACUCGCGCUCCGCCCUCUCCCGUCCCCUCCGCCACAAACCNNNNNNNNNNNNNNNNNNNNNNNNNNNNNNNNNNNNNNNNNNNNNNNNNNNNNNNNNNNNNNNNNNNNNNNNNNNNNNNNNNNNNNNNNNNNNNNNNNNNNNNNNNNNNNNNNNNNNNNNNNNNNNNNNNNNNNNNNNNNNNNNNNNNNNNNNNNGGGGGCCCCGCCCCCGCCACCGCCGGUGGCGCGGGGAACGGCCGCUCGGCACUACCACGCCGCCCCGCGCCGCCCAGGGUUCAUUCAGUCCUUCAGCCGGGGGCCCCUCCGCCACGAGCCCGCCGCCCUCUUCCGGCCCCCGCCGGCGCAGCCGCAGGUGCCGCCUCCCCGGCACUACUUCACCUCCUCGCGCCGCCCGGAGGUCAUCCACUUCGCGCGCCGCCGCGGCGGGGCGCGGUGGUACCACGACAGGCGGAAGGUCGCCGCGGUGGUCCUCCUCGCCGGCGGCGCGACCGUCGUCGUCUACUUCGGCAACCUCGAGACCGUGCCCUACACCAACCGCACCCACUUCGUCCUUGUCUCGCCCCAGCUCGAGCGCCAGCUCGGCGAGUCCCAGUUCGCCGAUCUCAAGAAGGAGCUCGCCCCCAAGAUCCUGCCCCCGCUCCACCCCGACAGCGUCCGCGUCCGCCUCAUCGCCUCCGACAUCGUCCGCGCCCUCCACCGCGGCCUCGCCGACCGCCGCAGCGACGACUCCGAUGACGCCUCCUACGGCGACAUCUCCUCCGACAUCGCCGUCAAGGCCCGCGACAUGGAUGCCGAGGACGUGAUGCACCGGGUCUCGCCUGGCAAGACCACGCGCACAGCGGCUGCGGCUCAGGGAGACGACGAGCUUCUCGAUGACAGGUGGGUCGCCGAGAGCCGGAGACGGGGGAAGGCACGCGGAGCGCAACCACAGACGAAGCACCUCAAUGAGCUCAAUUGGGAGGUCAUCGUCGUCAGAGAUAAGCUCAUCAAUGCAAUGUGCUUGCCCGGUGGUAAGAUUGUAGUCUUCACUGGAUUGCUCGACCAUUUCAAGACAGAUGCUGAGAUUGCGACAGUGCUUUCGCAUGAGGUGGGUUUACUAAUUUGGUUAUGGGCUCGUAUCUACUUUUGGUUGGUUGUACAGUGCAUUGGAACUGAUAUUGGUACCUCUAUGUUUUAGAUUGGGCACGCUAUCGCGAGGCACUUGCCAGAGAUGAUCACCAAGGGCAUGUGGUUCACUAUCCUGCAGCUUGUCGUCCUACAGUUUAUUUACAUGCCAGACCUAAUUAAUGCAAUGUCGACAUUACUCCUCAGAUUGCCCUUCUCACGAAGGUAUUCAUUUCUGCAUUUCAUAUUGUUCGUAGAAUCAUGGUUAUUUACAUUCUACACGUGAUAAGUUGCAUAUAUGACUGAAAUGAGAUGCUACCAGAUCUGGCAAAAGCCAAUAAAUUGGCACCAAUGGGCUUGAUUUGUCUAGUUAUCUCGUUUUGGUAUAAGUUAUGAUAUGACUCCUGCUUCAAGUGCCUCCAUGGGGGCCAUUCUAUACUAUUCUGAGCCAACCUGUUAUUUCAGCUUAAUGUACCACAGACCAGUGAGAACCUAUCUAGGUAAAGUGAUAAACCAUGCAUAGGAAAAAGCUCAUAUCAACAUACAAACAUGCAUGAUAAUUUUUUUACAUUGUUCUAUCUAUACUUGAUAAACUAUACUUAAUAAACAUUGUGCAACCACACAAUGAUCAAACACAAUAAAUCAUAUGUAUUUUCAUUUUAUUUCUCAUAUUAUUACUCCAAUAAAUCAUAUGUAUUUUCAGUUUAUUUCUCAUAUUAUUACUCCCAAUAUUCAUGUUCCAUGCAACCAAAUCACACUGAAUUAUAUUGCAAAACCCGCAAUGUUGUGCGGGGUAUCAUCUAGUACCAUUUAAUUUUGCUACAGACUUAACUAAUAGCGGUGACAAUUCUAGUUAUAAAACACAUGACUCUUGAUUGCCCUACAGAUGAGAUUAUUAUUGAUAAUUCUUAUCCCCAUCAGGGCAUUGGACCUCGGAGAGACAUCUAGUUAUCUGUUCUCUUACUUUUUGAUGGACUUAUUAGCUAUUCACGCAGGUUCUUAGAAAGUAGACGAAAUCAGAUUUGCAAUAGCAUAUGUCAUGUACUCUUUCGUACUAAAUUCUGGAUCUGCAUGGAAUUGAUCCCCCAAACACCAAAUUGACUGGAAUGAUAGUAUGAUAUCCCCCUUGUACAUCUCUUACAAAUCCUACCAAAGUUGACUAGGAUGAUGCCCCUUCUUGUACAACUACUAGAAUUCCAUCACCAAUGCAUUGUGCGUGACUAUUCUAUUGUCCACCAAUUUUUCAUGUGUAAGAAUCGUUUUACAACAUAUGUGUGAAUUGUGAGGAUGGUGUUGGAUCCCUGUGGAUCGUAACUAAGAUUUAGGGUUUAUAGAUCACAGAUUUGGAGAGGAAUUUUGGGGAUCUGGCCGAUCUAAGAGGCCCAGUAUAUUAUCUAUAUAAUUGUUCUAGCCAUUUCGGCAGAAUAGAGAAGAAAAUAAACGUAAUCCUCACCCAGCCACAGCCCGGCUGUAUUUAUAGGCAGAGGUUUAACCCAAUGGUGAUUACUCGUUACAGUAACUACGACAAUUGGAAAAUAAACAGUAUUCGUGCCAUCUGGACCGUCGAGCGACUACACCGAAGAACGAGCGAUGAUGGCCGUCUGAUAAGCCAUGAAUCGUUAUCUGAAGAGAAUUGAUGCUUGCUGAAGAAAUAGACUCGUCAGGUACCUGACAGUGGGGUGGUAUAUAUUGGAGAUAUACAAGGUUUAGUAUCUAAGGUGGUAAGUUUGUACUUCUGAUUUGCAGUAAAAUCAGUCCCCUUCACAAGUGCUUGUUUUUCGAGUAUGAAGCAGUGGUCACUGGUCAGUUAGGAUCUUCAGUGAUGGGGAAACUUGAACUUCCGAGUCCUGACUAAAUUGGGAAAUUUAACACAUAAGUAAGAAAAAAAAUAUUUUUUCCCCAAACUAUUCAAGGGGAAAGUAGUUAUGUCUGUUUGGAUACCUUUAAGAAAGACUUGGUUCGAAAAUAAAAUACUCUGUACGGCAAUUUCCAGAAAAAAAUAUCUUUUCAGAUACACGCUCAACUUUAUAAUGGACUAACUAGUGUUGCUUAGCUGUUGAGCCGUUUCGGUACAAGCUUUCUGUGAUCAAAGCUUCCCUUUGAUCUUUGAAUGGAUUGAUGUAUGACCUGGCCAAAAUUUCCUUGCGCCUUCUGCCAAGCAAAGCCACCAAGUGCAGACAUUCAGUGCUUCUGCCUAGUGCAUCUGAAAUGAUGCAUCAAAGGAGCUAGGAUGUUUAGCUAUCCAAAGCUGUAUCCAUCAGUUUCCUUGAAAUGAGAGGACAAGUGACUGAAACGUGGACUAGCUACUGAUCCAUCUUGGCAAUCUGAUCUGCCACACUUAAUCUUGGUCUUUACUCUUCACUCCUUGUUUUUCGAGAAAACGCAAAAGAAUUUACGUUUCAUUUCAUUGAACAAGAAGACAUCGGGGGUACAACCUCCAGAAAGUAGGGACACACACACACACGACCGUCCUCACCAAGUGACUACAAAUAGGUAAGGAGGUGCCCUCAACUACAGACACGCAACGACAUCAAGCCUCGCCCAGCCUUGCCUCAAGCCACGGUGUCGAAACUCGGAGCAACAGGGCAGUGUCACCGCCAUUUCCAGACAGCUCCAGGGACGAUUGCAGCUCCAGGACUGCCCAGGCCGACGUACCUCGCACCCAUGUGCCUAGAGAGUCGGCGGGUGAAAGGCAGGGCCUGAUUGGAACUGGUGUAGCAUUCGUUGGGGGAGUGCCAGCGCUGGCAUACGUUGCCACUUGCUCCCUGUGUAGCGGUCUACGCCAGAGCGAUGCAUCACCAGCCACCAUCUGCCGCAUCAAGUAGUCCACUUGCAGCCAAAGCUGGUGCAUGAUUGAAUAGCUGAAUGUAUCUCUAUGUCUUUCCAAAAAGGAUCCACUGAUGCCGCUUUCUGUGGACAUGAAAUUUUCUAAAACCCCACCCCAGUUUCACUUCUUGAUGUUAAGCCUUCAUUGCCUCAACGAUACAAUAAGAUUUCAUAUGAUUAGGCGGUGAGUUUUAUAGCACCUUCCCCACAUGAAUCCUGCCCUGCUGUACUCUAUCCAGUUGUUUUAACGAUGGAUGGUUCUUCAUGAUCUGAAUAUUAAAAGAUUUGUGAGGGUACUUUCAUCUAAAUCCUUUUUGGUUUUCCAUAAGUUGUUUUAAGUCUAGUGAGAUUUAUUUGUAGGGCCGGCCCUGGCUUUUUGUCCAUCAUAAGGAAUCAACUACUGUUUUUCAGAUGGAGCCAACUGGUCAGAUAAAAUGUGGUUGCUCUAAUAUGACAUAAGAUUCAAUAUACUCCCUCCGUUCCUAAAUAUAAGUCUUUUAAGAUAUUUCAUUAUGAGUCUACAUACGGAACAAAAUGAAUGAAUCUACACUCUAAAGUAUGUCUAUAUACAUCCGUAUGUAGUUCACUAAUGAAAACUCUUUAAAGACUUAUAUUUAGGAACGGAGGGAGUAUGUCAUUAGAGUCCUUACAGAAUUAGUUUGUGUGCGACCUCAAAAAAAAAGACCUAUGUUUCAUACAGUUGUUAUUCUUGACUUCUUGUUAUCACAUUAUCAAACAUAUGCAGGUAUUUCUUGUUAGAAUCCCCUUGUGAUGAUGUAUGUAACAUGUUUGCAGGAUGGAGGUAGAGGCAGACCACAUAGGGCUCAUGCUUCAAGCUUCUGCUGGUUUCGACCCACGCAUAGCUCCCAAGGUCUACGAGAAGCUAGGACAAAUCGCGGGCAAUCAAUCAGUACUGAAAAGCUACCUCUCUACUCAUCCUUCGAGUAAGAAGCGGGCCGAGCUUUUAUCUCAAGCCAAGGUGAUGGAGGAGGCGAUGCAGCUAUACAGGGAAGCUUGCGCUGGCUACGGGACCGAAGGUUUCCUCUAGGUUGCGGCUUCGAACUCUCCGGCCUGCUGGGUAAGUCGUUUGGUGGCGGUGCCUGGCACAGAAACAUGCCCUUUGUUACCUGUACGGUGACGGCCAGUAAGAAGAGCUCAUUCUGUGUCUGUGCAUUUGCUAUUGUCUGUUCCUGUUGGGCUGAAUCGGCCACAUUUUCGUAGCAGAAUGUGAUCGAGCUGCUUCACUUGUGAUUAGGAGAGAGAAAAAAAGGAAUAGGUGAAGAGUUUCUGUUAAUAAUUGUCUUCCAAGAGCAGCUUUUAUAAUCCCAUAUUCCUUGGGUUUAUCGGUGUCGAUGAUUGUCACGUUGGUUACCUGUUGUCAUCUGCACCAGCUAGUAGUAGUCAGUUGGUCACGGCUGCGGAUUCACUGAGCUCGGGUGAACCGGAAAAGUUGAAGAAGAAAAACUGAAAAACUAAAAAAGAAAAUUGUCGCAAAAUUUGACAAAUGUUUCCAAUUCUUGCAAACUUUAAUCAUAGAAUGACAUUUGUAAGUAUGGAAUACAUUUGUCCAAGUUUGCCAGCAAAAGAAUCAGUUUUUUUUAAAUGGAUUUUACUGUCCACUCGAGAGAAGGACGCUUUGGGUUGGUCGCGUAAUAUUCAGAUAAUAUCGUUGUUUGAAGUAGUCAGGCACGAGACGAGGUAUAUAAAAUAUAGCUGAGCUCUCUUCAAACCCUCGAAGCAUUCUGGCUUGCUAGUUGCCACAACCCUGACGUGCUUAUUUGCUUCGUAGCUAGUCAAUAGAUACGCCCAUCCCGUGACACGGUGCGGAACCACUCUGUCUACCUGCCCCAGGUCCCAAAUUGCACGGGCAUCCCUCCGAAAUCGUACACCAGCUGCUCAUGGAACAUUCAUAUUAGUCUUAGCUUGAAGUUAGUCAGUCAACCACAAGGUUAGGUAGGCACAAAACUGAAUAAUCUGCGGACCUCGAUUAUCCUAUCCUGGCUUGCCUGCAACCUUUGACGUGAUUCUGCGCUUGGUGUUUAGUCAACAGACGCGCCCAUCCCGUGACACGAUCCAGGACACUCUGAGCCUGCUACUCGUACCCGCUCAAGAUUCCAAAUUUGCACGGGGACCCGUCGUGACACGGCGGGUGAUCCUUCGCCAUCCAUCAUCGCCCGAACCCAACGACCACCACGUUCGUUCUCUGGCAUGCCAUCAGCGUCGACCGGAAUGCAUCUUCGGGUUCCGCGACGUGCACUGCGGGUCCUGCCCGUCGCUCACGAGCGUCAGGUCGCUUGAAGAGCCGGCUGUCUAUCUGGGUGAUUAGAUUAGCAUUACCUCUGCUCCCAUCUCCGGCCCUGCCCAUCGAUCUCCUCCGUCUCUUCCCUUGGCGUCUCCCCUAUCAUACCUGCAAAUUGCUGCCAUAUACAGUACGUACUACUACAAUAUACACUCCCACUCUCCUCGUCCUCAUAAUCGCAAUAGUUUAUCAUACGACAAUUAUUAAACUGCAGCUAAGCAGAGCAGAGAGAGCGGUGCGGCCAUGCUAGCUUUUGGAGCCGCGAAGUGUCGCUCGCUCCGUGGUUUGGUUCGGUUCGUUUGCUGCUCCCAUGGCCAUGGGAGGGCGGUCACGAUUCGUGCGGCGCAAUGCAGGGGAGCAGUGCGGGGUUGGACUUUGGACCAACAAGGGACCUUUUCCGGCAGCUAAAGGAUGGCGGCCCUCGGCUCGCCGGUUGGGUCGCAUCCAUCCAUCCGCUGCCUACUUUUGACCGGGCGACCGAGUCGCGUUGGAGCUGGACACGCGACGCCGCCGGGCAUCGUCGACGGACCGAUGCUCGCCGGCAAAGUGGGCAGGCAGCGGGCUGACCAGGCAAAGAAAGAAAGAACGGAAGGAAGAAAUGUGCUCUUGGCCAUUUGAAGAUCAUUGUGAUCAAAACUCAAAAGCGACGCUGGUAGUGGUACAACAACAAAGUAGGGAUAGUUGGUGAGGGCGCUGUACUUGGACGGAAACGGAAGAGGGGCAUGAGCAUGAUCGAUGUUGGAGAAAGAACGGUCGUGGGCACGUUGUCGUGGCGGCCUGCAUACCACUGUGGUGCUGUGCCAUAAGACGAUUGGGGCUAGCGACCUACUUGUGGGUCGUGACAAGCAUGGACGAACGGUCAGGAAUGAGGGGCGGGGCUCACAAGUCUACUACGCUUGUAGGCGCGGCACCAUUUUUUAUGGGGGGGCCAAAAGCGCGUGCACUGUGCAGGAUCCGGAACGUGCAAAGCUCAUCGCAAUCUCCGGUUGAUUGAUUGCUUGAUUCGCUGUGCUACGGGACGAGCAAUGUUUUCCGGGACGCCACCCAACCAGCCACCCCCACCUCUUAUCAGUUGCUGAACGCUCUCUUUCCCUAUCACCCCGCCUCCUUGAAAACCAAACCUAUUGCCAUCCAACCGUCAUUUUCUUAUCCUUUGAGGGCAUCUCCAACAGNNNNNNNNNNNNNNNNNNNNNNNNNNNNNNNNNNNNNNNNNNNNNNNNNNNNNNNNNNNNNNNNNNNNNNNNNNNNNNNNNNNNNNNNNNNNNNNNNNNNNNNNNNNNNNNNNNNNNNNNNNNNNNNNNNNNNNNNNNNNNNNNNNNNNNNNNNNNNNNNNNNNNNNNNNNNNNNNNNNNNNNNNNNNNNNNNNNNNNNNNNNNNNNNNNNNNNNNNNNNNNNNNNNNNNNNNNNNNNNNNNNNNNNNNNNNNNNNNNNNNNCUCCAACAGUUUGUUGGUUAGGUUGUUGGUAAAAUAUGCCAUGUCAUAAACCAACACCUUAACAUACAACUACUCCAAUGGGUUGUAUCUAGUUUGCCCAAUAAGAUGUGAUGUAAUAAAUAAGGUGCUCUCUCAUUCUACAUUGGAGCUUGUGCAAGGGUGUUGGUUAAUUUACAUACAACCUUGCUCUCUUUCCUCAUUUAUUGCAUGACACAUCAUCAAAAAUCCUAUGUGUCAAAAUUACCAACAACUAUCUUACAACCAUUGGAGAUGCCCUAACAUACAACUACUCCAAUGGGUUGUAUCUAGUUUGUUCAAUAAGAUGUGAGGUAAUAAAUAAGAUGCUCUCUCAUUCUACNNNNNNNNNNNNNNNNNNNNNNNNNNNNNNNNNNNNNNNNNNNNNNNNNNNNNNNNNNNNNNNNNNNNNNNNNNNNNNNNNNNNNNNNNNNNNNNNNNNNNNNNNNNNNNNNNNNNNNNNNNNNNNNNNNNNNNNNNNNNNNNNNNNNNNNNNNNNNNNNNNNNNNNNNNNNNNNUUUACAUACAACCUUGUUCUCUUUCCUCAUUUAUUGCAAUAACACAUCAUCAAAAAUCCUAUGUGUCAAAAUUACCAACAACUACCUUACAACCAUUGGAGAUGCCCUGAAAGAAAAGCGUGCUUAAGCAAUCGUGUGAUCCCAUAUGAAAGGUAAAAUCCGAAAAAUAGAAGAAAGAAAAUCUGAUCUAUUUUUUGCCAAGAAUCAUCGAUGUAGAAAAAUUACAUUUGCAAAGGUGCGAAAAAAAUUGAUGUUCCAAAGUUUCUUCAUCAGAGAUCACUGGAGCUGGGGAUCACAUACUCCAAGUCCGAAACUUAUGUUAGGACUUAUCUAUUUUAUACUUGCAAGUCUGUGGACAUUAAGGAAAAGCGACCCCAUGGCAUAAUGUUGCUCUCCACUCUUUGGCGCACUAAUGGCCUACCGUCACCUAAAGCUUCAUCCACGACCAUUGGAAGCGCAGCAACCGCUUUACACAAAGUGGCAACAAUAAAGCAUACCUAAAGACGAGAAGUUAGUGAGCACUAAUAACAUCCGUCCAUCCGUAGCAUGAGACAAGCGGCGUGGUACCACGGCUGCGGUACGGACCAUUUUAUUACCAUAUCAAUCGAUGAUUACACGAGACCAUAGCAUCCAGACGGCAAGGGAAAACAAUCAACCAAAUACUGUAGUAAUCUUGUGCUUUGACACGCCCCUUGCCACCCAUCACCCACCACCCACCCAAAGACGAGAACGAGAAGAGAGACCAGACACCCUGAUGAGAUGACCAUGAUGAUGUGACCUACCUAAGCGGACUAGGAGUAGUAUGCAACCAAACGUAAAAGGAAAAUGCUGGAAGAAUUUUCGCCCAAGGCACGAAUCCUCCAAUGGCCACCACCGGACCCCAUCACCGACGGUCCAUCACACGGCGAUCGGAGCUUCAGGGCUUCCACAGGAUGGUGGUCUCGGCGAUCAUGGAGGUGACCACGUAGGGGUCCAUGUUGGACGCCGGCCGGCGGUCCUCGAAGUAGCCCUUGCCGUUCUGCUCCGUCUCCCGGCCCACGCGCACCGACGCGCCACGGUUUGCCACACCCUGCAGAGCAAGCAACACGUUUUUCAUUUUAGAACCACUGUUGGAGUAACGAGAUUCAGGUGAUUCAGGAGCAAGAAGGCGAAGGUGGGGGCGUACCCAGCUGAAGGUGUUGAUGUCGGCCGUCUCGUGCUUGCCGGUCAGACGGCGCUCGUUGCCCUCGCCGUAGGCCGCGAUGUGCUCCUUGUGCUUCAGCUUGAGCUUCUCGACCGCGUCCACGAUGACCUUGAAC
rnacentral:lncRNA from 1 species